UACAAACAAUGAAGAUGGCGAAAGCAUCGAGCAGUUUUGCCUGGACGGACGAUGAGGUUGCUUUAUUACUACAAGUGACCCUGGACUAUAAAGCAGGGCUCCAACUGGUGAUCUCAUGUUGGUCUGUUCGCCCUGGAGAACUUGCUUGAGGGCUUCAGAUGGCGGAGAGCCCAAAUCUGGACUGGAGGACUGAACAGCAUUGUCGCCAGUGGUCACUGAUGGCAUCUGUAGAGAGAAAGUUCGGCCCAGAGAUGAAACCCGAAAAUGAGACAGAAGUUCACUUAAUCAGAAUUAUGGCCACCAUUCACUUGCAUUGUAUGGACCAACAGAGAUGAGAUCUUAAUUUGUUUUCAGCAGAAGAAAGAAAGUUGAUUACACAUCUGGGAUGGCAUGAGGAGGUCAGAAGCACACAGGAACUGUACUGUGAUGUGAGCUGAACCACUGUGUACUUCAAGCAAGAGCUCUUAGUGAAUAUUUUUCAUUGAUAUUGUGACAAGCUUCAAAGACAGAUGACCAAUAAACAAAAUGGAUAUUCUCUUUCCUGAUUCAGUAUGUCUGAUGCACACAAGCUUAAGUUGCCCCACCAUUUAGUGUGCUACAGCCCCACCGCAAAGUAGAGUGGACACCUGAGGGGAACUUAAGAGUAAACUUGAGGAAGAGAUUUCAGCAGUCACCGUGAGACCUUGAUACUUUGGUUCAAAGUAACUGCAACUGACUCAAAAAAGUUAAGUUAGAUAAGAUAUUUGAAAAGCUCUGGCAUCAUUGGUUAUUUUACAUCUAAUGCUACACAUUUUAAAAAUUAACUCUGUUUCAAUCAGGCAGGAUGUCAAGAUGUAUUGUUAAUAAGAACUUUAACUUUGGUCUUUUUCAAACCUAAAGUGAUCGUAUCUCUUCAGUAGACAUGGAUUAAACCACACAAAUUGUAUGGAUUACUUUUAUGUGGCCUGUGGAAUUACAAUGUAUGGACAAAAAACACAUCAUACAUCCUUUAAAAUAUCUUUGUUUGUGUUCCGCAGAGGAAAGCAAGUCAUGUGAGUUGGAGUCAGCAUGAGGACAGGAAAGGUCUCCAGACUGGAAGACUGAAGAGGAGGAUAAUUGCAUCCAAGGCUGCUGCUGCCAUGUUAUUUCAUUUGCGUGUGAGGUCCCAUAGAGCACUUAAAUCUAUCGCAGUCAAGAGUGGGAGAGAUGGCAGCAACAGACACAAACAAAUGGUAAGCGUUUGGAUUGUGAAAGGAUCCUGACCACAUGAGAGAGCAAGAUUACUGGCCUCUCUUCACAGUUGAGGAGCCCCAAAAAAGAAAAGUGAAAGCUGGGGUGAAAAAAAGAAAUGCAACAACUCCUAGCAAGCGUCUUGCACAUAAGACUUGAUGAUGGCUCACAAAUCUGCAAGCAACAGUGACAUAUGGUGCACUACAAACAGGCUGACUCUGAGCCUGAGCCAAGAGCAGCGUCUCAGACAGUGAGUUAUAAUGGCAAUCAGCGCCAUCAUAAAUGUGUCCAAAAAUGUUUGCUUCAUGUUUCACAUGUGAGAAGAGAGAUACAGAGACACUGUAGUGAGUUUCUUCAUAUAAUCAUAAACCUAUUUGGUACCAUACUCUGUUGUGAUUGCACUGUCAUGCCUACUAUUGUGUCAGCCUGUGAUGACAUGGUAUUUCAGCAGGUCCUGCCUCAAAUCUGAGCACAAAACAAAUGCACAAGCUAAACAAAGAUUGGUUUGAAUACAAUUAUGACUGGAGUUCACCAAAAUAAUAUGCAUACAUGUGAGAGCUGUUUUCAGAAAAUAAACUUCUAA